UACAGGGAGGGUGCAAGCAUUUAAUCGGAUUUACUGGGCGUAAAGGGCGCGUAGGCGGGUUUAUAAGUCAAAUGUGAAAUUCCCGGGAGCUCAACUUCGGAGCUGCAUUUGAGACUGUAAGUCUAUAGAGGGAGUGGCGGAGAAAAUGGAAUUCCACGUGUAGCGGUGAAAUGCGUAGAUAAUGUGGAAGAACACCAGUGGCGAAAGCGGUUUUCUAGCUAUUACCUGACGCUGAGGCGCGAAGAGCGAUGGGGAGCAAA
rnacentral:rRNA from 1 species